ensembl:lncRNA
GGUCAGAAACUAAAAAAGAAUGCUUCAGAUUCCAAACAGAAGGGAGGAAAAUAGUGCAAGAAUGAACAGAGCAUAUAUUUUGAAGCAGGGUUGCCAAAGCUGGGCUGUAGAAGAAGAUGAAGUUUAUGGCUUCACCAGCAUUUUUGGAUCAAACUGUCCCUUGGAAAAUGGUGUCAUUUACAGUAGUUAAAUGACCUUGAGAAACCAAGCUUCCUCUGGAGAGAAAAGAGCCUAUUUUCUUAAAAGUGCAAAAAGGCUGAUGCUGCUGCUACUGCUAAGUCACUUCAGUCCUGUCCGACUCUGUGUGACCCCAUAGACGGCAGCCCACCAGGCUUCCCCAUCCCUGGGAUUCUCCAGGCAAGAACACUGGAGUGGGUUGCCAUUUCCUUCUCCAAUGCAUGAAAGUGAAAAGUGAAAGUGAAGUCACUCAGUCCUGUCUGACCCUUAGCGACCCCAUGGACUGCAGCCUACCAGGCUCCUGCGUCCAUGGGAUUUUACAGGCAAGAGUACUGGAGUGGGGUGCCAUUGCCUUCUCCGAAAAGGCUGAUAAAGAAAUAGAUCUGAGGAAGCUCCACAGCCACCAGUCACCACUCCCUCCUCCCAAGCCACCUGCUCAUUUGCAGGUCAGUUCUUUCCUUUCUUCUUUGGUCAUCACUAUGAUUCAUGCCCCUCUCCUCUUUCUAAAUGUAACAAGUCCUUUAACAAAAUCUUUAAAAAAUUGAAGGCAAAAGGAGCAGGGGGCAGCAGAGGAUGAGAUGGUUAGAUAGCAUCACUGACUCAAUGGACAUGAAUUUGAGCAAACUCCAGGAGAUAGGAAAGGACAGGGGAGCCUGAUGGGCUAUAGUCCAUGGAGUCACAAAGAGUCGGACACAACUGAAUGACUGAACAACAACACCAAAUGCUUCAUGCCCCCUCUCCUCAUUCUAAGUGUGAUGAAUCCUUUAACCAAGUCUUUAAACAUUUCUCAUUUUGAAAAAUCCAAAUAUAUGCAAAAGUGAAAAGAACAGUUAACUUAAUCGUCCAAUGCCAUCACCCAGAUUUGACAGUUGAGUUUUGCCUCAGUUGCUCCAUGCUUUCCCCACUUUUCUCUGCAAAAGGAUUUUAAAACCAAUCCCAAACCUCAGUAGUAUCUCCCCUUAAUACUUCUAUCCACAACUCUAAGCAUUAUAGAUAUUUUCGUGUGUAGGCAUGCCGUUUUCUCUCUCACAGAAGUCAUUAAUAUCAUUUCCCACACACUCAUACCUAAAGCCUUCUAGUUGUCCCAAAGAAGUCUAUUUACAGUUGACUUGAUUGAACAAUGAUCCUAUCAAGGGCCUUUCGUUGGAUGUGCUUGUUACUUGUCUUCUGUCUGUGUUUAUCUUUUUCUUUCCUGCCACAGAUUUUCUUGAGGACCCAAGUAAAUCAUCCAGAUGCUCAUUUAUUUUCCCACAAUUACAUGUAUUAUUUGAGGACUGAGAGUUGUAGA